rnacentral:lncRNA from 1 species
AUUUGCUCAGCCGUGUUCGCUUGCAUUUGAGCUAUCUGGUCUCUUAACCUCUGAACUUUAGCUUGAGCUUGACUUCCGGAAGGCAUGUAUUGCUGGGAGCCGGAUCCAAAAUAUUGGGUCGGGGUAACACCAGAUCCUUGAAAUCGAACCUGACCGUACCUUUCAGGACACAAAACUUCAGUGAUAAUUCUGUUAUCAAUGUUCUCAAGAUUAACAGAACUAUCACUCAAAGCAAUCGCUUCAUAUUCCGCCUUCUUCUCCUUUAGUUUCUC